CCUGCAUGAAGUCGGAAUUGCUAGUAAUCGCGGAUCAGCAUGCCGCGGUGAAUACGUUCCCGGGCCUUGUACACACCGCCCGUCACACCAUGGGAGUCGGUAACACCCGAAGCCGAUAGUCUAACGAAAGAGGACGUCGUCGAAGGUGGGAUUGAUGACUGGGGUGAAGUCGUAACAAGGUACC
rnacentral:rRNA from 1 species